ensembl:lncRNA
GACUUUCUUUCUUUCUUUCUUUCUUUCUUUCUUUCUUUCUUUCUUUCUUUCUUUCUUUCUUUCUUUCUUUCUUUCUUUCUUUCUUUCUUUCUUUCUUUCUUUCUUUCUUUCUUUCUUUCUCUUUUUUUUUUUUUUCCCUAACUAGAUUUAAAUGUAUCCUAUUUUACCACUGUAGCAUAUGACAGAAUACAGAGCUGGAUGAGCAAUACUAAUUCUAUUGGAAAAAUGGGCUAGGAAAGCUUCUGGAGUCAUGGGAAAACUAUUUUAAGGUAAGAGUGAACAAGGAGGCUUUGUUGUCCUUUGUUUUAGAAAGAAGGAAAAACAAGAAAGUAGACAACAGGAGUACAUAGGAGAAGACUGAAUAAUAGGCAUCUUCCACCUUAAGGUUAAACAGGGUCUUGGAGAACAGGAGAGGUGUGUGGAGACUCGAAUAGCCAAUGUCAAGGUCUUCAAAAUGGGAAAGAAGGAGGAUCCGGGAAACUAUGGGCCAGUCAGCCUCAUCUCUGUCCCUGGAAAAGUGCCAUCUCCAAGCAAUUGGUAAAGAAGAAGGUUAUCAGGAAUAGUCAGCAUGGAUUCACUAAGGGAAAAUCAUGCUUGAACAACAUUGUAGCCCUCUACAAUGGCAUCACCAGCUGGGUAGAUGUGGGGAGAGCAGUGGAUGCCAUCUACCUUGACUUCAGAAGGGCUUUUGAUACUGUGUCCCAUGACAUUCUGAUAAUGAAGCUGAGAAAGUGUGGUAUAGAUGAGUGGACAGUGAGGUGGGUUGAGAACGGGCUGACUGGCUAAGUUCAGAGGAUUGUGAUCAGUGGUACAGUCUGGUUGGAGACCUGUGACUAGCAGUGUUCCCCAGGGGUCAGUGCUGGGUCCGGUCUCGUUCAGUAUCUUCAUCGAUGACCUUGAUGAUGGGAGAGUGUCCACCCCUAGUUAGUAUGCCGAUGAUACAAAGCUGGGAGGAGUGGCUGACACACCUGAAGGCUGUGUUGCCAUUCAGCAAGAUCUGGACAGACUGGAGAGCUGGGCAGCAGAAAAUGAGAUGAGGUUUAACAAAAGCAAGUGCAGGGUCUUGCACCUGGAAAGGAAUAGUCAUAAGUAUCAGUACAGGCUGGGACAUGAACUGCUGGAGAGGAGAUCUGCAGAGAAGGACCUGGAGGUCCUGGUGGAUGACAGGUUGGUGAUGAGCCAGCGGUGUGCGCUGGUGGCCAAGAAGGCCAAUGGGAUUCUGGGGUGCAUUAAAAGGAGCAUGGCCAGCAGGUCAAGGGAGGUGAUCCUCCCCCUCUACUCUCUCUGCCCUGGUCAGGCCUCACCUGGAGUACUGUAUCCAGUUCUGGGCUCCCCAGUACAAAAAAGACAAGGAUCUCCUGGAGAGAGCCCAGUGGAGGGCCACAAAGAAGAUGAAGGGCCUGGAGCAUCUCUCUUAGGAGGAAAGGCUGAGUGAACUGGGUUCAGCCUUGAGAAAAGAAGACUCAGAGGUGAUCUUAUUAAUGUUUAUAAAUAUCUUAAGUGUGGGAGUCAAAGGGACAUGGCCAACCUCUUUUCAGUGAUCUCUGGGGACAGGACAAGGGCAAAUGGCCAUAAACUAGAGCACAGGAAGUUCUGCACCAAUUUGUGAAGGCACUUCUUCACAGUGAGAAUGAUGGAGCACUGAAACAGGCUGCCCAGGGAGGUUGUGGAUUCUCCUUCUCUGGAGAUAUUCAAGACGUGCCUGGAUGCCUACCUGUGCAGCUUUGUAUCUCUGCAGUUUUUUUUGGACUUGUUGAUCUCUGGAGGUUUCUUCCAACCACUGCAAUUCUGUGAUUCUGUGAUAUUUAAACACGAUUCACUUGAAAAAAAAAAAAACAAAAAACUUUAUUGUUUAUUUCUCCUCUUUUACUUAGCCAUUUUCUUUACAUCAAUUUUGAAGAAGCAUUAACACUCAUUUAUUUGUGUGCUUUUUUAAAAUCAAAAUAAAGAUGUUCAAAGGGUCUCUGCUGUCCUUUGCAAGUAGAAAGUAAAUGCAGAAACAAGAGGGAAGGUGCCUUAGCAACAGUCCCAGACUUCUUCCCUUUUGAAGCAUCAUCACAAUUACAAUCAUUAAUGUUGGUAAAAAAAGAUGAUAGUCUAGAUCUGAAAGAUAAUAAGGUUCUUUUAAACAAAGCACAAUGUGCUCCAUGCAGUAAUGGUAAAUACAAAUCAUAAACAAAUGGCAUUUUGCAUUAUGGUAGGCACUAAGGAAUUUCUCCCUGACCAGCAAGAAUUAACAGUAUUUUUCAUCUUUUAAAUAUAUUCUGUAAUUCAAGUUAUAAAGAAGAAUGUUAACUCUGUGCAAUAAAUGAAUUCAUAAUAAAACUCAACUCUUCUGUCCUUCUGUUGUGAUAGUUCAUGGGACAGCUUUUCUCUCUGUGCACUGAAAGAAUCUAAAACCUGUGGGAUAAAAACUGUAUACAAU